GAAAUGAAAUGAAAGUGGCGAACGGGUGAGUAACACGUGAGCAACCUACCUUACACAGGGGGAUAGCCGUUGGAAACGACGAUUAAUACCGCAUGAGACCACAGAAUCGCAUGAUAUAGGGGUCAAAGAUUUAUCGGUGUAAGAAGGGCUCGCGUCUGAUUAGCUAGUUGGAAGGGUAAAGGCCUACCAAGGCGACGAUCAGUAGCCGGUCUGAGAGGAUGAACGGCCACAUUGGAACUGAGACACGGUCCAAACUCCUACGGGAGGCAGCAGUGGGGAAUAUUGCACAAUGGGGGGAACCCUGAUGCAGCGACGCCGCGUGAGCGAAGAAGGUUUUCGAAUCGUAAAGCUCUGUCCUAUGAGAAGAUAAUGACGGUAUCAUAGGAGGAAGCCCCGGCUAAAUACGUGCCAGCAGCCGCGGUAAUACGUAUGGGGCGAGCGUUGUCCGGAAUUAUUGGGCGUAAAGGGUACGUAGGCGGCCUUUUAAGUCAGGUGUGAAAGCGUGAGGCUUAACCUCAUUAAGCACUUGAAACUGGAAGGCUUGAGUGAAGGAGAGGAAAGUGGAAUUCCUAGUGUAGCGGUGAAAUGCGUAGAUAUUAGGCGGAAUACCGGUGGCGAAGGCGACUUUCUGGACUUU
rnacentral:rRNA from 1 species